CCUACGGGAGGCAGCAGUGAGGAAUAUUGGUCAAUGGGCGAGAGCCUGAACCAGCCAAGUAGCGUGAAGGAUGACUGCCCUACGGGUUGUAAACUUCUUUUAUAAAGGAAUAAAGUGAGGCACGUGUGCCUUUAUGUAUGUAUUUUAUGAAUACUGAUCGGCUAACUCCGUGCCAGCAGCCGCGGUAAUACGGAGGAUCCGAGCGUUAUCCGGAUUUAUUGGGUUUAAAGGGAGCGUAGAUGGGUUGUUAAGUCAGUUGUGAAAGUUUGCUGCUCAACCGUAAAAUUGCAAUUGAUACUGGCAGCCUUGAGUACAGUUGAGGUAGGCGGAAUGCGUGGUGUAGCGGUGAAAUGCUUAGAUAUCACGAAGAACUCCGAUUGCGAAGGCAGCCUACUAAACUGCCACUGACAUUGAUGCUCGAAAGUGUGGGUAUCAAACAGGAUUAGAUACCCUAGUAGUC
rnacentral:rRNA from 1 species